ACGACAGACCCAAUACAGAAAGCACAACUCCUAUAAUACAUUCUUCCGCAGCCUUAUGUUUUAAAGACCGCAGAUUUUGCAUACUAUAUUGAUAUUGUAACACUACAAUAUCUAUAGUCAUAUCCUAAAUCUUGCUGCCUUUUCACUUUUUCGAUAGCACCAAAAAUAAAAUUGGCCUGCUUCAAUCCUCUGGACACAACACCUUCAUUUCUCCAGUGCUUUGAGAUCUAAAUCUGUUGUAACCGCUGCUAGAUUGUAGAUGUCUCAUACAGGACUGUCAAGUUGAAUAAAGUACAAAGGG
rnacentral:misc_RNA from 1 species